AUUUCAGUCCUAAUCUUGAUUUACCCAAUCUUUAAAAGCUAUAAUCUCUAAACUUAAAGGAUUUGGCGGUAAUUUAGUCCAGUUAGAGGAACCUGUAAUAUAAACGAUACACCACGCAAAAUCUUACCUAUUUUUUGCUUGUAUACCGUCAUUAUUAAAUAACUCUCAAAGAUAAGUUAUUUCAAUAAAUAUUAAUUUUAUAUAUUAGAUCAAGGUGCAGCCUAUAAAUAGGAACUUAUGGGUUACAAUAAAAUUUAUUUAAACGAAUAAUAAACUUAAAUAUUUUUUUGAAGGAGGAUUUAAUAGUAAAUUUAGUUUAACAUGUUAAAUUGAUAAAGGACCUAAAUUGUGUACAUAUCGCCCGUCACUUUCACUCUUUAAUGAAAUAAGUCGUAACAUAG
rnacentral:rRNA from 1 species